AAGACUAUACUUUCAGGGAUCAUUUCUAUAGUUCUUUACUUGAGAAAUGUGUUUCGACAGUGUAAGGUCUCGCUAUCCAAGAUGGCGAUUUUAGAUAUUCCUUUUGGACUAUGAAUCUGGCGGAUAGGAAUGACGUUGCUCACGUUCCUUCCACCUUUGAGGACUGUUCUUCAAUGGAUCAUGGAGGAAGGGAGUGGAUGAUGAUU